rnacentral:sRNA from 1 species
GACAGCCCUUUCUUGGCGGAGCACAAAUAUCCCACUUUACCUGGGAAGCUUUCAGGAGCCACGCCCAAUGGAGAGGCUGCCAAUUCUCCUCCCACCAUCUGCCAGCCUGACGCCACGGGGAGCAGCCUGCUGAGGCUGAGAGACACAGAAAGUGGCUGGGAUGACACUGCUGUGGUCAAUGACCUCUCAUCCACUUCAUCGGGCACUGAAUCAGGUCCUCAGUCUCCUCUGACACCAGAUGGUAAACGGAAUCCCAAAGGCAUUAAGAAGUUCUGGGGAAAGUAAGUUGGUGCUGUUGAUCCUAAUUAUAUUGCUUAGAAUUUUUCUUUUUGAUUGGGCAGAGUCUAUGUAAGCCCCUGGUCCAAUAGACACUGAAACAGCAGUCAAAACAGAGUGUUCAUGUUCAAAGAGAAGAAUCUGAGAUAUUUUCCAGGGCCAAGAGAAGGAGAAGUAUGAAAGACACCCAUUGAAUAUAUCCAGUUGCCUUUCAUGUCAUGCAUCCUAGGCACCCACCCAUUCCACACACCCUGAACAUAAUCUCUGCAGCUUAUAUUACAUUGGCUCUGGCACAGACACAGAUGAGACUGUAUUCUCCCUUCUUAGGAGUCAGUCUGUUUUAAGAAAUCUUUGAAAAACCUUUGAAAGCCAAGUACUUGCUGGCCCAACUGAUCCACUUUGUGACAUGAGGCAGAAACUGGGGUCUCCUACAAGGCAUCAAACUUUGCUUUGACUUCUAUGGCAAGUGACCAAAUCCCAGAGGCAGGAUUCGAAUUGAGGCUUGAGUCUGGCCAAGGAGCUGCAACAGGUUGUGAUCC